rnacentral:rRNA from 1 species
CCGCUGGUGCACCGGUUGUGACGCCAGUCGCAUCGCCGGGUAGCUAAGUGCGGAAGAGAUAACCGCUGAAAGCAUCUAAGCGGGAAACUCGCCUCAAGAUGAGACUUCCCUGGAGGUUCAACCUCCCUGAAGGGUCGCGGAAGACCACCGCGUUGAUAGGCGGGGUGUGGAAGCGUGGCAACACGUUGAGCUAACCCGUACUAAUUGCCCGUGAGGCUUGAUCCU